ACUCCUGUCUCCUGCCUCAGUCCAGAGGCUGCCAGUGGGAAGAUGGGUAUGAAAGGUGUUGGGAUUGACAUUGGACUGUAUUUUCCUUAAAUUUCCAUGCUGGCCAGAGGCUGAUAGUGGGAAGACGGGUAUGUAUGAAGAUUGAACCCUCUCCUGUACUCUUGUUCCCUAACUUUCCAGGAUGUUCUGAGGAAUACUGUGGGAAGACUGGUAUAGAUUGGGGGUUGGAUGCUAUCUACUGUUUCUUUUCCCUAAUUUUCCAGGAUGUCCAGAAAAAUCAGUGGGAACACCAGUGUGGAUGAAGCGUUGGGAUGGAGGUUGACACUCUGUCCUGUGUUCAUUUCUGUAGUUUUCCAGGAUGUCCUGAGGCUGCCAGUGGGAAGAUGGUAUGGAUGAGGAGUUGGGAUAGAGGCUGGCCAGGGGCAGAUAGUGGGAAGACAGGUAUGGCUGGGAGUUGGGAUGGAGAAACCUGUGUGCUCAUCUGUCACCUCGAGUGUACUCAACAUAAGGGGUACUUUUUCCAGUGUUAUUAAUACUGAAGCCUCUGUUCUGAACUCUCAUCUCCACUGAACUGUAAUGUGUGGUAAUACUUAAACCUGUAAACUUAACUCUUACUGUGCUUCAAUACUUCAAUCUGUGUCGUCAGGUCUCACCUGGACUGUACUGAAAUACUUAAACCAGGGAGGUGAGCUUGUACUGAGCUUUACUAUUCAGUGACGUGUAUACUGAGCCUUCAUCUGUAGUGUAUUUCAAUACUCAAAUCUGUGUGCUACACUCUUACCUCUACUGAGUUUCAGUACUCAAAGACACACCUGUGUGCUUUACCCUCACCUUUGCUGUACUGUAAUAGUAAACCCAGUGUGCUGAUCCCUAACUUGUAAGUGAGUUUUAAUACUCAGUGACAUGCAUGCUAAACCUUCACAUGCAGUGUAUUUUAAUACUCAAAUCUGUGUGCCGGACUGUCAGCUGUACAAUACUCAGCCCUGUGUGAUGAACUGUAACCUGUAUUGUAAUACUCAUAUGUGAAUUGGUAUUAUUUUGCAGUGCUCAGACGUGUGUACUGAACUCUCACCUGUACUGAGCUUUAAUACUUAAACCAGCAUGCUGAACUCACAUGGAGCGAUCUGUACUAUUCAGUGACGUCUAUGCUCAACCUUCAUCUAUAGUGGACUUUAAUACUGGAAUGUGUGUGCUACACUCUUACCUUGACUGAGAUUCAAUACUCAAUGACACACCUGUGUGCUUUACUCUCACCUUUUAAAAAAAAUAAAUAAUUCUCAGAUCUGUGUUCAGCUCUCACUUGGACUGUACUAAAAUACUUAAUCUAGUGUGCUGAUCUCUUGUUCAAACUGAACUUUAAUUCUCAGUGCUACAACCAUUUCUUAAACCUGUGCUCACAGUGUAUUUGAAUACUCAGGUCUCAGUGUUGAAAUGAACUGUCCUAUUGUCAGAGUCAGCCCU